AAUAGGGAAACGUUUGACCCAUCCUCUUCCUCCUAGUACACCAUCUUCCACGGCUUCUUUGCCACCCGCCGCCAUUGCAAGGAAUUUACUACACAGUACUGUACUAUAUAGCAGUCAUUUUAAGAAUAAUAACAACAACGCGCAUUCUUAAAAAGUAACAUUAACCUGACCUUAGCGAUGAUAGAUGAGCCGCACUGCUCACUUUUCUUAAACUGAACUGCCCCCGAAAAUGUACCCCGUGCCGUCCAAUCUCAGCGUCUUGUUUACGCAGAAGAAAUAUCUCUUGUGUUCAGUGAGGUUUACUCUCACUUCUAGCAAGUGCGCAUAGGUUUGCAGUCUUAGUCUGACAGUUUAUGAGAAAAUGUUUCAUUGGUGAGGGAGGGAAGCACCUGUGGAAGCGGCUUCCCCGCCGGGGCUGCUUCAUGUUUCUGGAAAGAGAGCAGAUCGGUCUCCUCUCAAUCCCUAAACAUGUUUCCUUGUGAGCUCCGCUGAACUAAAAGGGGUUUGCUUCCAAAUCGGGGUGCAAGUGGAAACGUCCAAACAAAUAUGUCCACCUUCAAGGAACACAGUCCACCAUUUUCUCUGCCCUGGCAAGGAGACAGGAUGGCGGAAUCGUCUGCCAGCUGACAUGGGGGUUGGGUGGGUGGUGGAGAGGUCCAUUGAUAUGAAGCUAAGAAGCAAGAAGGAGUUAAACUGAGCAGGGAAAUAGAGUUAAGAAGGAAUUGAGUACUGUAGAUAUAGAUAUGUAUAUUAUGCGAGCCUUGAAUGUCACUGAAAAUGCGCUUUGCAGCCUUCCGUCCUAGGAGUGGAACCGCAGACUGUGCAUUCUGACGGCUCUCUCUCUCUGCUACCGAGAUGCGGACGUGAACUUUCUCGGGCCGCCACACUCCUUUCGCGUCUGCCGGGCUCAGCGACCCACUUUGAGCCAUUUUACGCGCCUACCCCACUCGCUCGCGCUUCUACGGACAGCUAAGCACUUUACGGAAGAGACCUCGAAGACGCGGCUCUCGGAAGAAAACGCAAGCAAUUCUGAGGAACAGCCACCUAGGAGAGAUGCCAGCCUCCCAGAACAACAACAACAAAAUGGAUUGGCUGUUUGGUUGUUUUUGGAACAGUUGCCAGAAGAGCAAUGGGCAAGGCCAAUCUUCCCCACUGAGUUUUGUCUAGGACGAGGACGUCUUAGAUGAAUAGGCAGAAGAAUACAGCUUUUGCAUGGAAUUUUGUCCUUGGAUCCCCCAAAACCACCAAAGAGUGCAAGCUUCAUAAGAAAGGAACAUGUGCUCUUUUUCUUUCAUAUGCAAUGCUGUCAUGUGCAAUGCACACUGAUGAGGUAAUAUUAAUAGUUGUGUAAUUAAUAGUUGCAUUCUUCCUACCCCAAGGAGACUGCACUUAAUCUAUGGGUGAGGCCUUGACAGUCUGAUCACUCUUAAAGCUGGUGAAUGGUGACCUACAUUUCUUAUAUAGCUAUGAAACUUACUGUAAACGAUACAAGCCAUGUUUGGGUGCUCACUCUCACAUGAUGUACGAUGGUAUGAGGGGCAAAGUGGGGCUUCCCCACUCAUCCUGCCCCUACUGUCCCAUUCCCACUACUUCUGUGUGAAGGGCACUGGAAGCCUUUGGCUGCUGCUGCUGCUGCUGCUGCUGCUCCUCCUCUGCUCCAGUCUCAGCAAGUCAAGUUGUGGCUGCACUGACAAGAGCAUCAAGUUUCCACUCUGUAGGCCAGAGCUGGCUCGUGGGUCUGGGUAUGUGUGAAAAAGAAGGUGUGUUCCAGCUGGCCCAGAUCCAGGCAGCGAGUUGCGAGCACAGAUCACACUGGGCGAGGAAAGAGGGGAGUGUAGCAUAUUCAGACCAAUAACAAGCAAGGAGCUGAAGAAUACUAUGUACAUACACUGGAUUGUUUGAUCUCUCUCUCUCUCUCCUCUCCCUUCCAACCAUUGGAGACCGUGAAGCCUGUUGCUAUGAGCCUGCUGCAUUUGAAAAUUAGCUCUUAGGGCAGGGCGGCGGCUUUAUGGGAAUUGGGAGUGGGAAAAUAACCUAAGAGGUGGAAGCUUGGCUCUUCGCUAGGACUUUGGCUGGCAAAUUCUAACUGAACAUUGCAAGAGUAAUCACUUCGCAGGUUCGUUUUAACAGGAAAAGAAGGCCUUCCCUGUUCCUCACACUCUGGUCAAAUUCUUUCUUUUUUAUGCUCUCUAGCUGUACACCAUUAACAUUUAGAGAGUGGGUUUUAAGUGUACUCCAUCCACUCAGUCCUGGCAAUUAAAAGCAAGCUGAAAGUGCAGAGUGCUUGAGAACAGGAGACCUGCUGAAAUAGGCCCAUCGAGUCCAGCAUCCUGCCCUCACAUGCAUGACAAGAGCAUAAUGGCACUCUUGCCAUUUGUGGUUCCUAGCAACUGGUGUUCAGGGACAUACUGCCUCUCAUGCCUGAGCUGCGUGACUAGUAGCCACUGACAGCUUUAUCCUUCACGAAUCUGUCCAGUUCCUUUAUAAAGCGAAUUCUGCCACUAAAUCUAAUACUAAAUAUAGGGUAGUGAAUUUCAUAGUUUACCUAUGUGCUGCACGAAGCAGGACUUCCAACAUGCAGCUUCAUUGAAUGGCCUUGUCUUCUAGUAUUAUAUGAGCAGAGGAGUGGGCAAAAAAUCUCUCUAUCCACUUUCUCUACUUUUAUACACUUUACUUGCAUGAAAAAUUACAAGGUGUUGUGUCCCUGUUGCUUCACUUGCCAACCCCCGCUGUCAUGCCCCUGAGCUUUCCCUUCCCACCCCACACAACUGCAGAGCUCACUUCUCAUCUUCCCAGUACCAUUUCUAAAGCCUCUUCUAUUAUGCAGCUCCACUUUGCACCCAUUUUCACCUUCAUCCCAUGCCAAUGCCUUCCCCCUCAUUUUGUGCAACCCCUCCUAGCACACAAACCGCAUCCAUGGUAACCUCCUGCAUCUUCCUUCUCCCACAAAUUGCAACUACUAAGCACCCUAUUCUUGACCCUUUCGUGCCUCUGCUUUCAUCUUCAACCCCAUUCCAAUGAUUCCAAAUCCCACCUUUUGGGCAACCUCCUUUGCACCCUAGUUUUCACCUUUACUCCUUCCCCCUCCCCCCGCACUCCUCCUAGCUUUUCUCAAUUCUCCCUUGCACAUAGUAAAGGUAAAGGGACCCCUGACCAUC